rnacentral:rRNA from 1 species
GUGUCUAAGGCAUGCAAGUCGAACGAUUCCAAUAGUUCCGCAAGGUUCUGUCGGAGUAGUGGCAAACGGGUGCGUAACACGUAGCUAACCUACCUUGAGGUCGGGAAUAACCCCGCGAAAGCGGGGCUAAUACCCGAUGGUCAUGAGGGGGCGCAAGCCAUUCUCAUGUAAAGUUUUAACACCUCAAGAGGGGGCUGCGGCCUAUCAGCUUGUUGGCGGGGUAAUGGCCCACCAAGGCUAUGACGGGUAGCUGGUCU